rnacentral:tRNA from 1 species
ACUCAAAAUUAGCACUUUAAGCAACGGGA